rnacentral:rRNA from 1 species
GCACAAGCGGUGGAGCAUGUGGUUUAAUUUCGACGCAACGCGAGAACCUUACCAGGGCUUGACAUCCCCUGACCGCGUAUGAAAGUACGUUUUCACCCUCGGGUGACAGGGAGACAGGUGGUGCAUGGUUGUCGUCAGCUCGUGUCGUGAGAUGUUGGGUUAAGUCCCGCAACGAGCGCAACCCCUACGUUUAGUUGCUAACGCGUGAAGGCGAGCACUCUAGACGAACUGCCGUUGACAAAACGGAGGAAGGUGGGGAUGACGUCAAAUCAUCAUGCCCCUUAUGUUCUGGGCUACACACGUGCUACAAUGGCCGGUACAGACGGAGGCGAAGCCGCGAGGCGGAGCAAAUCCGAAAAAGCCGGUCUCAGUUCGGAUUGCAGGCUGCAAUUCGCCUGCAUGAAGUCGGAAUCGCUAGUAAUCGCAGGUCAGCAUACUGCGGUGAAUACGUUCCCGGGCCUU